rnacentral:lncRNA from 1 species
GCUUUCACUAAAGAUUCUUCACUUUGUUCAGUUGAAAUAGCAGAAUCUGAAAUAGAGUCUUCGGUUGUUGAAACAUUUUCUGCUGCUUCUUUUUCAACUUCUUCAACAAGACUAUCAUUCAACUGCUCAGCACUUGGUGCUUUCUCAUCUGUCUCAUUUGUCUCAAUUUGCUGAGCCACUCCUUCAGAUUCUUCUGUCUGCUGAUUCCCCUGCGGUUCUCUC